AUCCCGUAGUACAAUAGAACUGCCUUUGUUGCAAGUGGGUUUGGGAAGGGCAUACAUUGAAGUUCUGGUGGCAAAUAACCAAAGCAAAAAUGUCUUGCAUGUACAGAGUAUUUCCUCAUGGGCUCCUAGUUGCAUUGGACCAUAUAGCCAGGCAACUUUGCAUAAGGAGAUGCUUCACAUGGCUGGGCAAUUGGGGCUUGAUCCUCCCACAAUGACCAUAUGCAGUGGAGGCCCUGCUGCUGAGCUGGAACAAGCACUAGAAAACAGUGAAGCAGUGGCAAAAUGCUUCAACUGUUCAAUAUGUACCUCUGCUAUUCUCUUAACCGUUUACUGUUCAAAACACAUUCCUUUGUCCGAGAGACUUAAGAUUCAGGACAAGCAGGACUCUUUUAUUAAACAUAU
rnacentral:misc_RNA from 1 species